rnacentral:sRNA from 1 species
GUCGUACGAGAAACACGUCCUUCGGGAUGUGGAGUAAAGUGCCGCACGGGUGAGUAACACGUGGGUAACCUGCCUCGGGGACCGGGAUAACUCCGCGAAAGCGGGGCUAAUACCGGAUAAGACCGCAUGAGCUUCGGCUCAAGGGGUCAAAGUCGGCCUCUCGAAGAAGCCGGCGCCUGGAGAUGGGCUCGCGGACCAUUAGCUUGUUGGUAGGGUAACGGCCUACCAAGGCCAAGAUGGUUAGCUGGUCUGAGAGGAUGAUCAGCCACACUGGAACUGACACACGGUCCAGACUCCUACGGGAGGCAGCAGUGGG